rnacentral:rRNA from 1 species
GGUUAAGCGACUAAGCGUACACGGUGGAUGCCCUGGCAGUCAGAGGCGAUGAAGGACGUGCUAAUCUGCGAUAAGCGUCGGUGAGGUGAUAUGAACCGUUAUAACCGGCGAUUUCCGAAUGGGGAAACCCAGUGUGUUUCGACACACUAUCAUUAACUGAAUCCAUAGGUUAAUGAGGCGAACCGGGGGAACUGAAACAUCUAAGUACCCCGAGGAAAAGAAAUCAACCGAGAUUCCCCCAGUAGCGGCGAGCGAACGGGGAGGAGCCCAGAGCCUGAAUCAGUGUGUGUGUUAGUGGAAGCGUCUGGAAAGGCGCGCGAUACAGGGUGACAGCCCCGUACACAAAAAUGCACAUAUUGUGAGCUCGAUGAGUAGGGCGGGACACGUGGUAUCCUGUCUGAAUAUGGGGGGACCAUCCUCCAAGGCUAAAUACUCCUGACUGACCGAUAGUGAACCAGUACCGUGAGGGAAAGGCGAAAAGAACCCCGGCGAGGGGAGUGAAAAAGAACCUGAAACCGUGUACGUACAAGCAGUGGGAGCCUCUUUAUGGGGUGACUGCGUACCUUUUGUAUAAUGGGUCAGCGACUUAUAUUCUGUAGCAAGGUUAACCGAAUAGGGGAGCCGAAGGGAAACCGAGUCUUAACUGGGCGUUAAGUUGCAGGGUAUAGACCCGAAACCCGGUGAUCUAGCCAUGGGCAGGUUGAAGGUUGGGUAACACUAACUGGAGGACCGAACCGACUAAUGUUGAAAAAUUAGCGGAUGACUUGUGGCUGGGGGUGAAAGGCCAAUCAAACCGGGAGAUAGCUGGUUCUCCCCGAAAGCUAUUUAGGUAGCGCCUCGUGAAUUCAUCUCCGGGGGUAGAGCACUGUUUCGGCAAGGGGGUCAUCCCGACUUACCAACCCGAUGCAAACUGCGAAUACCGGAGAAUGUUAUCACGGGAGACACACGGCGGGUGCUAACGUCCGUCGUGAAGAGGGAAACAACCCAGACCGCCAGCUAAGGUCCCAAAGUCAUGGUUAAGUGGGAAACGAUGUGGGAAGGCCCAGACAGCCAGGAUGUUGGCUUAGAAGCAGCCAUCAUUUAAAGAAAGCGUAAUAGCUCACUGGUCGAGUCGGCCUGCGCGGAAGAUGUAACGGGGCUAAACCAUGCACCGAAGCUGCGGCAGCGACACUAUGUGUUGUUGGGUAGGGGAGCGUUCUGUAAGCCUGUGAAGGUGGCCUGUGAGGGUUGCUGGAGGUAUCAGAAGUGCGAAUGCUGACAUAAGUAACGAUAAAGCGGGUGAAAAGCCCGCUCGCCGGAAGACCAAGGGUUCCUGUCCAACGUUAAUCGGGGCAGGGUGAGUCGACCCCUAAGGCGAGGCCGAAAGGCGUAGUCGAUGGGAAACAGGUUAAUAUUCCUGUACUUGGUGUUACUGCGAAGGGGGGACGGAGAAGGCUAUGUUGGCCGGGCGACGGUUGUCCCGGUUUAAGCGUGUAGGCUGGUUUUCCAGGCAAAUCCGGAAAACCAAGGCUGAGGCGUGAUGACGAGGCACUACGGUGCUGAAGCGACAAAUGCCCUGCUUCCAGGAAAAGCCUCUAAGCAUCAGGUAACAUCAAAUCGUACCCCAAACCGACACAGGUGGUCAGGUAGAGAAUACCAAGGCGCUUGAGAGAACUCGGGUGAAGGAACUAGGCAAAAUGGUGCCGUAACUUCGGGAGAAGGCACGCUGAUAUGUAGGUGAAGCGACUUGCUCGUGGAGCUGAAAUCAGUCGAAGAUACCAGCUGGCUGCAACUGUUUAUUAAAAACACAGCACUGUGCAAACACGAAAGUGGACGUAUACGGUGUGACGCCUGCCCGGUGCCGGAAGGUUAAUUGAUGGGGUUAGCGGUAACGCGAAGCUCUUGAUCGAAGCCCCGGUAAACGGCGGCCGUAACUAUAACGGUCCUAAGGUAGCGAAAUUCCUUGUCGGGUAAGUUCCGACCUGCACGAAUGGCGUAAUGAUGGCCAGGCUGUCUCCACCCGAGACUCAGUGAAAUUGAACUCGCUGUGAAGAUGCAGUGUACCCGCGGCAAGACGGAAAGACCCCGUGAACCUUUACUAUAGCUUGACACUGAACAUUGAGCCUUGAUGUGUAGGAUAGGUGGGAGGCUUUGAAGUGUGGACGCCAGUCUGCAUGGAGCCGACCUUGAAAUACCACCCUUUAAUGUUUGAUGUUCUAACGUUGGCCCGUAAUCCGGGUUGCGGACAGUGUCUGGUGGGUAGUUUGACUGGGGCGGUCUCCUCCUAAAGAGUAACGGAGGAGCACGAAGGUUGGCUAAUCCUGGUCGGACAUCAGGAGGUUAGUGCAAUGGCAUAAGCCAGCUUGACUGCGAGCGUGACGGCGCGAGCAGGUGCGAAAGCAGGUCAUAGUGAUCCGGUGGUUCUGAAUGGAAGGGCCAUCGCUCAACGGAUAAAAGGUACUCCGGGGAUAACAGGCUGAUACCGCCCAAGAGUUCAUAUCGACGGCGGUGUUUGGCACCUCGAUGUCGGCUCAUCACAUCCUGGGGCUGAAGUAGGUCCCAAGGGUAUGGCUGUUCGCCAUUUAAAGUGGUACGCGAGCUGGGUUUAGAACGUCGUGAGACAGUUCGGUCCCUAUCUGCCGUGGGCGCUGGAGAACUGAGGGGGGCUGCUCCUAGUACGAGAGGACCGGAGUGGACGCAUCACUGGUGUUCGGGUUGUCAUGCCAAUGGCACUGCCCGGUAGCUAAAUGCGGAAGAGAUAAGUGCUGAAAGCAUCUAAGCACGAAACUUGCCCCGAGAUGAGUUCUCCCUGAGACUUAGAGUCUCCUGAAGGAACGUUGAAGACGACGACGUUGAUAGGCCGGGUGUGUAAGCGCAGCGAUGCGUUGAGCUAACCGGUACUAAUGAACCGUGAGG